GAUGAACGCUGGCGGCGUGCCUAAUACAUGCAAGUCGAGCGAACAGACGAGGAGCUUGCUCCUCUGACGUUAGCGGCGGACGGGUGAGUAACACGUGGAUAACCUACCUAUAAGACUGGGAUAACUUCGGGAAACCGGAGCUAAUACCGGAUAAUAUAUUGAACCGCAUGGUUCAAUAGUGAAAGACGGUUUUGCUGUCACUUAUAGAUGGAUCCGCGCCGCAUUAGCUAGUUGGUAAGGUAACGGCUUACCAAGGCAACGAUGCGUAGCCGACCUGAGAGGGUGAUCGGCCACACUGGAACUGAGACACAGUCCAGACUCCUACGGGAGGCAGCAGUAGGGAAUCUUCCGCAAUGGGCGAAAGCCUGACGGAGCAACGCCGCGUGAGUGAUGAAGGUCUUCGGAUCGUAAAACUCUGUUAUUAGGGAAGAACAAAUGUGUAAGUAACUAUGCACGUCUUGACGGUACCUAAUCAGAAAGCUACGGCUAACUACGUG
rnacentral:rRNA from 1 species